rnacentral:rRNA from 1 species
GGGUAGCUGGUCUGAGAGGAUGGUCAGCCACACUGGAACUGAGACACGGUCCAGACACCUACGGGUGGCAGCAGUCGAGAAUCAUUCGCAAUGGGGGAAACCCUGACGAUGCGACGCCGCGUGGAGGAUGAGGGCCUUAGGGUUGUAAACUCCUGUCAAGAGGGAAUAAGCAAGUGAAGGUACCUCUAGAGGAAGGGGCGGCUAAUUCCGUGCCAGCAGCCGCGGUAACACGGAAGCCCCGAGCGUUGUUCGGAUUCAUUGGGCGUAAAGGGUGCGUAGGCGGCGCGGAAAGUCCGGCGUGAAAGGCAGGGGCUCAACCUCUGGACUGCGUUGGAUACUUCCGUGCUUGAGGACUGGAGGGGAGACUGGAAUUCACGGUGUAGCAGUGAAAUGCGUAGAUAUCGUGAGGAAGACCGGUGGCGAAGGCGAGUCUCUGGACAGAUCCUGACGCUGAGGCACGAAGGCUGGGGGAGCGAACAGGAUUAGAUACCCUGGUAGUCCCAGCAGUAAACGAUGUGAGCUUGAUGUGGGGGGAUUCGACCCCUUCCGUGUCGAAGCUAACGCGAUAAGCUCACCGCCUGAGGAGUACGGCCGCAAGGCUAAAACUCAAAGAAAUUGACGGGGACCCGCACAAGCGGUGGAGUAUGUGGCUUAAUUCGAUGCAACGCGAAGAACCUUACCUGGCCUUGACAUGCAUUGUGUCGUCGGUGAAAGCCGGCUAGUCCUGGAAACAGGACGCUUUGCACAGGUGCUGCAUGGCUGUCGUCAGCUCGUGUCGUGAGAUGUUGGGUUAAGUCCCGCAACGAGCGCAACCCUUGUGGUCAGUUACUAACCGGCUUAGCCGGAGGACUCUGGCCAGACUGCCCUGUCAAACGGGGAGGAAGGUGGGGACGACGUCAAGUCAGUAUGGCCCUUAUGGCCAGGGCUGCACACGUACUACAAUGCCCGGUACAAUGUGAACCGAAACCGCGAGGUGGAGGAAGUCGCUCUUGAAAACCGGGCCCAGUUCGGAUUGGAGUCUGCAACUCGACUCCAUGAAGUCGGAAUCGCUAGUAAUGGCGUAUCAGCAACGACGCCGUGAAUACGUUCCCGGGUCUUGUACACACCGCCCGUCACAUCAUGGAAGUCUCCUGUACCCGAAGCACGUGCGCCAACCUUUUAGGAGGCAGCGUUCGAAGGUAUGG